GAUGAACGCUGGCGGCGUGCCUAAUACAUGCAAGUCGAGCGAAUGGAUUAAGAGCUUGCUCUUAUGAAGUUAGCGGCGGACGGGUGAGUAACACGUGGGUAACCUGCCCAUAAGACUGGGAUAACUCCGGGAAACCGGGGCUAAUACCGGAUAACAUUUUGAACCGCAUGGUUCGAAAUUGAAAGGCGGCUUCGGCUGUCACUUAUGGAUGGACCCGCGUCGCAUUAGCUAGUUGGUGAGGUAACGGCUCACCAAGGCAACGAUGCGUAGCCGACCUGAGAGUGGGAUCGGCCACACUGGGACUGAGACACGGCACAGACUCCUACGGGAGGCAGCAGUAGGGAAUCUUCCGCAAUGGACGAAAGUCUGACGGAGCAACGCCGCGUGAGUGAUGAAGGCUUUCGGGUCGUAAAACUCUGUUGUUAGGGAAGAACAAGUGCUAGUUGAAUAAGCUGGCACCUUGACGGUACCUAACCAGAAAGCCACGGCUAACUACGUGCCAGCCGCCGCAGUAA
rnacentral:rRNA from 1 species